rnacentral:lncRNA from 13 species
UCACUAUUAACCUCAUGGUGAAAUCCCUGAGCAGUUUCCUUUGUCUCCGGAAACUGAGUUAGGAAGGAAGCCUAUAUCGUUGCAGUGACUGGGUGUAUUGAUACACCAUCCAAAGCGUAAUUAAUAACUUCACCAUGCUCAAAGGAAUAUUGAAUGUCUUUUUUUAUAUACCCAUCUACCAAUAGGUGAGUCUGUGUUUGAAAUUCACUGCUCGACUGGGGACCUUACAGUGUUGUGUACAGAGAUGAGGGACCUUACAGUGUGGUGUACAGAGAUGAGGGACCUUACAGUGUUGUGUACAGAUGAGGGACCUUACAGUGUUGUGUACAGAUGAGGGACCUUACAGUGUUGUGUACAGAUAUGAGGGACCUUACAGUGUUGUGUACAGAGAUGAGGGACCUUACAGUGUUGUGUACAGAUGAGGGACCUUACAGUGUGGUGUACAGAGAUGAGGGACCUUACAGUGUGGUGUACAGAGAUGAGGGACCUUACAGUGUGGUGUACAGAGAUGAGGGACCUUACAGUGUUGUGUACAGAGAUGAGGGACCUUACAGUGUUGUGUACAGAGAUGAGGGACCUUACAGUGUGGUGUACAGAGAUGAGGGACCUUACAGUGUGGUGUACAGAGAUGAGGGACCUUACAGUGUGGGCUACAGAGAUAAGGUUGUCAUUCAACAAUCAUGUUAAAAACUAUUAUUGCACACAGAGGGAGUCCAUGCAACUUAUUAUGUGACUUUUUAAGCAAAUGUUUACUCCUGAACUUAUUUAGGUUUGCCAUAACAACGGGGUUGAAUACUUAUUGACUCAAGACAUUUCAGCUUUGAAUGUAUUUAUUUUUUGUAAAAAGAAAAUCUAAAAACAUAAUUUCACUUUGACAUUAUGGGGUAUUGUGUGUAGGCAAGUGACAAAACAGUCUCAAUUUAAUCCAUUUUGAAAUUCAGGCUGUAACAACAACAAAAUGUGGAAAAAGUCAUACUUUCGGAAGGCCCUGAACUGACAAAGGUACAUAUCACAGCAUAAUUUCCCCCUCCGGAAAUAAGCCGAAUAACAACAUAUUGGUCCAUAUUACCAGGCAGGUGUGCUAUUGAGCAAAAAGCAUCAUCGUUAGCCCAACUGAUGCAGUAUAGUGGCUAUAAAUAGGCUGACGGUUGCUAUCUGCAUUUACCUCAUUGGGCCAAUCAUUAGCUAGAUCACAAACUCUAAACAUUGUCUUGUUGCUAGUUAAAUAAGUGUUGUGACCCUAAAAUGCUCUGUGCUCCUCCCUCUUUUAACAGUGGCCAUCAGCUGCUUUCAGAGGUGUGGUUUCCCACCAUUUUAUUCUUAAGAAUGUUGUACAAUGACUGUCACGUUCGUCGUAAUGAGGAGACCAAGGCACAGCCUGAUAUGAAUACAUUCCUCUUAAAUAAAAGAGACCAUUGAACAAACUAUACAAAACGACCGUGCCGGUACAUAACACUGGUGCUGACACAGGCAACUAUACAUAGACAAUAACCCAAGAAUAUGGCUACCUAAAUAUGGUCCCCAAUUAGAGACAACGAUAAACAGCUGCUUCUGAUUGAGAACCAAUCUAGAACCAUAGACAUAAAAACACCUAGACUAGGCACAAACCCCAUAAACAUACAAAAACCCUGGACAGGACAAAAACACAUAUAUCACCCUCGUCACAUCCUGACCUAACCAAAAUAAUAAAGAAAACAAAGAAUACUAAGGUCAGGGCGUGACAGACAGGGCGUGCAUGUUUCUCUCCCUGUGGGGAACUUGCAGUUUGACUUGCAGUUUGAUAGCGCCUUGAGAUUAAUAUGAUUUUCUCGCAUAGAAUGCGGCAAACUGACCCUACUAUAAUUGCACAAUUUAUUACAGCUCAGCACUUUGCUCCCCUCUCCCCUCUCCCCUCUCCCCGGCACGUGUGAACACCCUCCUCUAAACCUAC